rnacentral:rRNA from 1 species
AUUGAACGCUGGCGGCAGGCCUAACACAUGCAAGUCGAGCGGAUGAAGGGAGCUUGCUCCUGGAUUCAGCGGCGGACGGGUGAGUAAUGCCUAUGAAUCUGCCUGGUAGUGGGGGAUAACGUCCGGAAACGGGCGCUAAUACCGCGUACGUCGUGAGGGAGAAAGUGGGGGAUCUUCGGACCUCACGCUAUCAGAUGAGCCUAGGUCGGAUUAGCUAGUUGGUGGGGUAAAGGCCUACCAAGGCGACUAUCCGUAACUGCUCUGCGAGGAUGACCAGUCACACUGGACCUGCGCUGCGGUCCUGACUCCUACGGGCGGCAGCGGUGCGCAAUAUUCGGCAGCGGUCAGAAGAAUGAUCCAGCCAUGCCGGGUAUGUCAAGCACGGCCUAGCAUUGUAGAGCCAAUUAUGUUGGACAGGAGGCCAGUAAGUGCAUACCUUGCUGUUUCGGCGUUCCUAAUAGAACAAGGCCCGGCUACAUCCGUG